rnacentral:lncRNA from 1 species
UCAAUAACUAUUUCUCUUAUCAAAACAAUUACUUCCGACUCAUAAAAACAUGUUCACUGACACAGGGCUUCUUUGCCAAGGGAUAAAACAUAUUAUUCAGAAUUUAUAAUUUUCAUGCAGCAUUGCCUGGAAGGCGUUUUAUAAACUAACCUUAUUUACACAAUUCAAGACAGCAACUGUAAAUGAUUCUGUUUCGUAUAAAAUAAUCUUUCUUUUCCUGUCUGUCACCUGGUCCAACUUUGAUGAUUGAUCACUGAUCCCAGUUCUCUUGGAACAACACAUCUAAACAAUGAGAGAUUUUAAUCUAGUUAUUUGCGCAUAUCAACUGACAACAUAUCUUAUCUAACUGAUAGCAAACAAAGGAUGCAACAGAAAAUUCAUAUGUUUGUUUUUAAAAAUGAGUGUACCACAGGAAAUUUUUUAAAAAUUCAUAAAGAGCCCCCCAGCUCGCCAAACUUUCUUUCUCUCAUCAAAACGAUCACUUUCGACUUAUAAAAACAUGUUUAAAAAACUUUGGGUCAAAUGCAAAGGGGAUCACAGGCAACCCUACGGUAAACAAAGGGCGAUCACAGAAAAUUUUUUUUUAAAAUUCAUAUACCCCCAACUCACACCAAACUUUCUGAAAAUUGUUGAGAAACAUUUCUCUCAUCAAAACGAUCACUUUCGACUCGUAAAAACAUGUUUUGAAAAAUUUGGGUCAAAUGCAAAGAGGGGAACACAGGCGACCCUAGGAUCAACAAAGGGCCCGGGGG